rnacentral:lncRNA from 1 species
GCUUUUUCCAGAAUCUAGUGUUUCGUGACUUGAAUUUGUUUUUCCUCGUGUAGCCGCCAGACUCAUUCACAGUGGAGUCAGUGGCUUACUCCUCAAUCACUUGCUGUGAUGGAUGAUUAGCAUGUAUUCAAGCACCAAACCAAGGUUACUUUCUCACUUGGGAGCUAAAGAAAGAGGGGUGACCCAUCUACAAUGGAGUUUGGGGUGAUCCUUUAUGCAACAGACAAUGUUGUCAACAGCAGACAGGGAAUAGAUACCAGGCAAACCACCAUGACAGAUGUCUAUUAGAACACCCAACCUGGAAGGUGUCCCUAUAGGCUGACUUUCAGCCUUUUCCGGGGG